UACGUAGGGUGCAAGCGUUGUCCGGAAUUAUUGGGCGUAAAGAGCUCGUAGGCGGUCUGUCGCGUCGGCUGUGAAAACCCGGGGCUCAACCCCGGGCCUGCAGUCGAUACGGGCAGACUAGAGUGCGGUAGGGGAGACUGGAAUUCCUGGUGUAGCGGUGAAAUGCGCAGAUAUCAGGAGGAACACCGGUGGCGAAGGUGGGUCUCUGGGCCGUAACUGACGCUGAGGAGCGAAAGCGUGGGGAGCGAACAGG
rnacentral:rRNA from 1 species